rnacentral:rRNA from 1 species
GUGAGGAAUAUUGCACAAUGGGGGCAACCCUGAUGCAGCAAUGCCGCGUGGAUGAUGAAGGCUUUCGGGUCGUAAAAUCCUUUUCUGAGGGAAGAGAGAGGACGGUACCUCAGGAAUAAGUCCCGGCUAACUACGUGCCAGCAGCCGCGGUAAAACGUAGGGGGCGAGCGUUAUCCGGAAUUAUUGGGCGUAAAGCGUAUGCAGGCGGUUUGAUAAGAUAGACGUGAAAGCUCUCGGCUUAACUGAGAGAGGCCGUAUAUGACUGUCAAACUUGAGUGAGGUAGAGGAGAGCAGAAUUCCCGGUGUAGUGGUGGAAUGCGUAGAGAUCGGGAGGAAUACCAGUGGCGAAAGCGGCUCUCUGGGCCCUAACUGACGCUCAGAUACGAAAGCGUGGGGAGCGAACGGGAUUAGAUACCCCUGUAGUCC